GCAAUUAUACCGUGAAACUGCGAAUGGCUCAUUAAAUCAGUUAUCGUUUAUUUGAUAGUACCUUACUACUUGGAUAACCGUGGUAAUUCUAGAGCUAAUACAUGCUAAAAACCCCAACUUCGGAAGGGGUGUAUUUAUUAGAUAAAAAACCAAUGCCCUUCGGGGCUCUUUGGUGAUUCAUAAUAACUUAACGGAUCGCAUGGCCUUGCGCCGGCGACGGUUCAUUCAAAUUUCUGCCCUAUCAACUUUCGAUGGUAAGGUAUUGGCUUACCAUGGUUUCAACGGGUAACGGGGAAUUAGGGUUCGACUCCGGAGAGGGAGCCUGAGAAACGGCUACCACAUCCAAGGAAGGCAGCAGGCGCGCAAAUUACCCAAUCCCGACACGGGGAGGUAGUGACAAUAAAUACUGAUACAGGGCUCUUUCGGGUCUUGUAAUUGGAAUGAGUACAAUUUAAAUCCCUUAACGAGGAACAAUUGGAGGGCAAGUCUGGUGCCAGCAGCCGCGGUAAUUCCAGCUCCAAUAGCGUAUAUUAAAGUUGUUGCAGUUAAAAAGCUCGUAGUUGAACCUUGGGCCUGGCUGGCCGGUCCGCCUCACCGCGUGUACUGGUCCGGCCGGGCCUUUCUUUCUGGAGAUCCCCAUGCCCUUCACUGGGUGUGGUGGGGAACCAGGACUUUUACUGUGAAAAAAUUAGAGUGUUCAAAGCAGGCCUUUGCUCGAAUACAUUAGCAUGGAAUAAUAGAAUAGGACGUGCGGUUCUAUUUUGUUGGUUUCUAGGACCGCCGUAAUGAUUAAUAGGGAUAGUCGGGGGCAUCAGUAUUCAAUUGUCAGAGGUGAAAUUCUUGGAUUUAUUGAAGACUAACUACUGCGAAAGCAUUUGCCAAGGAUGUUUUCAUUAAUCAGUGAACGAAAGUUAGGGGAUCGAAGACGAUCAGAUACCGUCGUAGUCUUAACCGUAAACUAUGCCGACUAGGGAUCGGGCGAUGUUGCUAUCAUGACUCGCUCGGCACCUUACGAGAAAU
rnacentral:rRNA from 1 species